rfam:Ictidomys tridecemlineatus contig068930, whole genome shotgun sequence.
GUGGCUGUGGCUCAGUAGUAGAGCAGUUGCCUAGCAUGUGUCAGGCACUGGGUUUGAUUCUCAGCACCACA